rnacentral:piRNA from 1 species
UGUGGUUGCCAAUGAUGCCUCUGCCCGG